rnacentral:rRNA from 1 species
AUUGAACGCUAGCGGGAUGCCUUACACAUGCAAGUCGAACGGCAGCGCGGACUUCGGUCUGGCGGCGAGUGGCGAACGGGUGAGUAAUGCGUGGGUAACCUGCCUUAUAGCGGGGGAUAACUAUUGGAAACGAUAGCUAAUACCGCAUAACAAUAGAGAUUGCAUAAUCUUUAUUUGAAAGUGCCAACUGGUACACUAUGAGAUGGACCCGCGUUGUAUUAGCUAGUUGGUAGUGUAAUGGACUACCGAGGCGAUGAUACAUAGCCGACCUGAGAGGGUGAUCGGCCACAUUGGGACUGAGACACGGCCCAAACUCCUACGGGAGGCAGCAGUAGGGAAUCUUCGGCAAUGGACGAAAGUCUGACCGAGCAACGCCGCGUGAGUGAAGAAGGUUUUCGGAUCGUAAAACUCUGUUGUUAGAGAAGAAUAGUUGAUUAGAGUGGAAAAUUAA